rnacentral:tRNA from 1 species
GCCCUGGUGGCACAGUGGUUAAGCGUUCGGCUACUAACUGAAAGAUUGGUGGUGCGAACUACUCUAGGGUA